UUUCGCUGUAGUUCCGGGCCGUGUUCCGGAAACCGCGCGAGACAAAAGUGACCUAGAGGCAGACAAAAGCGAGCGAGAGACGGAAAAGGAAGAAGCUUCCUGAAGGUGGCGUAAGAGUGAGGGAUCCUGACUUGUCGUAAGUAAAGAACGUCAUCACUUUCUGAUAGGCCCAGGAACCCCACGUUUUCUUGGAACCUCAAAAAGAGAGGCAUUCACCCAAUUCAAACAGCUGGACAGCUUACAUUUUGGAAGAAAAUAACAGCAACCCAUUUAUAAGCCAUUUUCAUACCUGCGAUCUGAGGUUAAGAACCAGUAACAGUUUGUAAUAUGACGAUUGCCUCUAAAUGUUUCCUGGAAGGGGUGGUGGAGGAAGAAAACAGCAAAGUUGUGAGCUUCUGCACAGGAAAAGAAACAAUCAACAAAGUAAACUGACAACCUGCAGAAUGGGAAAAAUAUUUGCAAACUAUGCAUCUGAUGAAAAGCUACCAUCUGGAAUCUACAAAAAAUUCAAACAACUCAACAAGAAAAAAACAAAUAACCCCAUUAAAAAGUGGGCAAAGGACAUGGACAGACAUUUUUCAAAAGAAGACAUACAAGACAACAAACAGGAAAGAAUGUCCAGCAUGACUAACCAGAGAAAUGCAAAUUAAAACCACAGUAAGAUACCAUCUUACACCAAUCAGAAUGACUAUUACUUAAGAGUCUAAAAACAAUAGAUGUUGGUGAGGAUGCAGAGAUAAGGGAAUGCUUAUCUACUGUUGGAGGGAAUGUAAAUUAGUACGACCUUUGUGGAAAACAGUAUGGAGAUUUCUCAAAGAACUCAAAAAAUAGAACUACCAUUUGAUUCAAGAAUGCCAUUAUUUGGUAUAUAUCCAAAGGGAAAGAAAUCAUUAUAUCAAAAAGAUUUUCCUAGCAGCUUCCAUGCUAUUCCAAGCAUUCAGAUGUUUAUCACAGCAGUAUUCACAAUAGCAAAGAUAUGGAAUCAACCUAAGUGUCCAUCAAUGGAGGACUGGAUAGAGAAAAUGGGACACACACACACACACACACACACACACACCAUGGAAUAGUACUACGCAAUAAAAAAUAAAAUCAUGUCUUGUGCAGCAACAUGGAUGGAGCUGGAGGCCAUUAUUCUAAAUGAAAUAACUCAGAAACAAAAAAAUCAAAUACCACAUAUUCUCACUUACCAGUGGGAGAUAAACAGUGGGUACCAUGGAUAUGCAGGGUGGAAUAAUAGACACUAGAGACGACAAAAGGUGGGAGGGGCCAUGCCCAGUAACUCAUGCCUGUAAUCCCAGCACUUUGGGAGACCAAGGCAAGCAGAUUACUUGAGGCCAGGAGUUCAAGGCCAGCCUGGCUAAAUACUAUCUCUAUUAAAAAUAAAAAAAUUAGCUGGGCGUGGUGGCAGGCACAUGUAAUCCCAGCCACUAGGGAAGCUGAAGCACAAGAAUCGCUUGAACCUGGGAGGCAGAGGUUGCAGUGAGCCAAGACUGCACCACUGCGAUCCAACCUGGUUGACAGUGAGACUCUGACUCAAACAAACAAACAAAAAGGUGGGAAGAUGAGAUGGGGGGAAGGUAGUGAGGGAGUGAAGACUGAACAAUUGCCUACUGGGUAUGAUGUUAUAUUUGGGUGAUUGGUACACUAAAAGCCCAGGCCUCACCACUAUGCAAUAUAUGUGUGUAAGAAACCUGUACUUGUAUCCCCCAAAUAAAUAAAAAUGUUAAAAAUUCAACUAUAUUUAAAUAGGGAGCUGGAGGCCAUUAUCUUAAAUAAACUAACUCAGAAACAAAAAGUCAAAUGUCACAUAUUCUCAGUUCUGAGGGGGAGUUAAACAAUGGGUACCACGGAAAUGUAGAGUGGAAUAAUAGACAUUGGAGACUACAGAAGGUGGGAGGGGCCAGGCAUAGUGGCUCCGGCCUGUAAUCCCAAUAGCAGGGAAACUAUGUUUAUUGAGUAAGUGCUAAACAAAUAUUUAUUGAAUGCAUUCAGGCAUUACUUAAUUUCAUUUUUAAGAAACUAAAAAGCAUAUUUGGAUUUUUAAGCAAUGUGUUUAUUUAUUUUUUAUUAAAUAGUACAUUCUGUGUAUGUUUUACACACACUUAAAUUCCCAAUUAUGUCGUGAAUGUUUUCCCCACAUUUUGGUUUACAUUAAGUGUUGCUUAAUAUGUUUUUGACUGAUUAAAAAUUUUUAUUUUUAUUUCUGUGUAGCAAAUCAAAUAAUAUUUUCUCUACGCAUCAUAUCUUUGGUGUUUUCUGAAAAAGACUUUAUUCUGAGGGCAACUAUUCACUAUCAAUUGUAGGAAGUAAUUUAGAAAGUAAGGGUCAAACUCAUUUUCUCUCAAAUUCUUAAUAUUGAAGGAUCAUUUCCUAAGUGAUUUAAAAUUCCAACUUCAUUAUAUCAAAGUAAUACUUUGGUAAUAGUAAUCCUAAAGCUAGGAAUUAUUGGUGCUUAUUGUGUUAAUCAUUUAAUAUGCAUUAGCCUGCUUAAAAAUUAUAAUGCUUUUAGCAUCUUGUAUUAUGUGUUAUGUCAUCAUCAUUAUCUCUGCUUUACAACCAAGGAAACAGGAGCUAAGAGAAAUUAAUAAAACUCAUACAUUUUAAGUUUGUUUCUGAAAUCAUGCUUUCUGGUCAUUGUUGCAUCAAAACAUUGAUUAGUAGGUGCUUUGAUUAUUAUAGCUUCAUCAUUUUCACAUCAAGUAGAAGGAUGGACCAACUUUUUGAAUAUAGGUUUCUGUUUGACAUGUUCUCCAUACACAAUCUAACCUAGUUUUCAUCCCUGGUGUUUUUUUUUUUUUUUUCACAUUUUUCCAGUUGAAAUAGCAGCUUAAAAACUCCAACAGAUCCAAUCACAGCUACUUUUGAAUUUGUUGAGCUCUCAUAGCAAAAUAAAUUCUUGGAGGUCUGCUUCUUGUCUGUAUCAUGAGGAAUGCCUUGGAUCUCCUUGACUCGCUCUCUGAAAUACCAGCUACCCUAAAGGAGGAAAGUGGCAGGUUGGUUUUGGUGAUUUAACUUUACCUGUGCCCACAUGCAGUAUAUCUAACAGACUUCCCUAGAGUUUCUAGCAUGUAUGAACUAUUCAUCCCUAUUUUCUAAUCCCAAGGUAUUUGUUUUUUAAUUUUUGUAUUCUUUUGGUCAUUUCAGUGAGGAUUUGGAUGUACAAUAGGAAAUUAUAUGUUUAUAUAAACACAAAAUUAUCUUGUAAGGAUGAGUAAGUAUAGGCAGAAAAGAGGAUAAGGCAUUCUAGGUAGGAAAAUAAUACAUGGCCAAGUAUAAGAGUAAGAAAGAAGUCUGGAACUGAUGUGGUUGCAAUUAGAAAGACAUAAUUUGGAAAACUGGAAUCAGCUUGUGAUUUUGUAUGCCCAAGUGAGA